rnacentral:snRNA from 1 species
AGCUUUGUGCAGUGGUAGUAUCAUAGUCAAUGAGGUUUAUCCAAGGGGCGAUUUUUGCUAAAAGACAUCUCAUCCAUUUGGUCAUUUAUUCAAUGAAAAUACAUUGAGCAUCUAAUAUACAGUGACACU